rnacentral:pre_miRNA from 1 species
AUAUGUCUGUGUGUGGACGGUGUUCAGCACCAAGGACAGGCCUGUAAGCCUGUGUGUUGGUGGUGUUCAGCACCAAGAAUUAACUUCUGAGUUU